CAAUCUAGGGCAAUCCAAGCCCACAGUGGUGGGUAGAGUACUGAAAAUCUAUACUCAAGUACAAGUAUAUGUACUUCCUUCAAAAUCUACUUGAGUAAAAG